rnacentral:misc_RNA from 1 species
UCUCCGUUGGUGAACCAGCGGAGGGAUCAUUAUAGAGUACCUUACUCUCUACCCUUUGUGAACUAUUAUACCCUGUUGCUUCGGCGGCGCCCUCACGGGUGCCCGCCGGAAUAAUCAGAAUCUCUGUUUUCGAACCCGACGAUACUUCUGAGUGUUCUUAGCGAACUGUCAAAACUUUUAACAACGGAUCUCUUGGCUCCAGCAUCGAUGAAGAACGCAGC